AACGAACGCUGGCGGCAUGCCUAACACAUGCAAGUCGAACGGCAGCACGGGGCAACCUGGUGGCGAGUGGCGAACGGGUGAGUAAUGCAUCGGAACGUACCUUUCAGUGGGGGAUAACGUAGCGAAAGUUACGCUAAUACCGCAUAUUCUGUGAGCAGGGAAGCAGGGGAUCGCAAGACCUUGCGCUGAUUGAGCGGCCGAUGUCAGAUUAGCUAGUUGGUGAGGUAAAGGCUCACCAAGGCGACGAUCUGUAGCGGGUCUGAGAGGAUGAUCCGCCACACUGGAACUGAGACACGGUCCAGACUCCUACGGGAGGCAGCAGUGGGGAAUUUUGGACAAUGGGGGCAACCCUGAUCCAGCCAUGCCGCGUGAGUGAAGAAGGCCUUCGGGUUGUAAAGCUCUUUCGGCCGGGAAGAAAUCGCACGGGCUAAUACCCUGUGUGGAUGACGGUACCGGAAUAAGAAGCACCGGCUAACUACGUGCCAGCCGCCGCGGUAAAAC
rnacentral:rRNA from 1 species